UAUGAGGGUUUUGGUUUCUGUGCUGCACAAACCAUCUUUUUCUUCCAGCAAGAAAAAAUUACUACUUCUCCCAAAAUGAAAAUCUGGGAGGAAGAUGCAGAAAAAGGCAACGCUCUGUGGAAGAGCUUGAAUUAAAAUAUUUCACUUCUUCAAGGCCAAAAUGCUUUGGUAGGUCCCAGGACUUCAUUUUGUCUCCUGUUUGAGUUGCUCUCCUGUCAAGAUGAGUUUGCAGUCGAGAUGAGUUAACACAGGCAGAUCACUGUCGUCUCCCUCUGAAGACAUCCACAGCACACUGAGUACAGCGCUGGAGCACAAAGACUGGUUAUGGCGGCCCUUCAUGUUCCUAUUUCAUCUGAGCACUGUGGAGCUGUUUUGUCCAACUGUGGCAAAAUCAAAUAUUCUGGCAAUUAAAAGCCCAUCCACCACCUGCCCCUUCCCUCCUUUGCUCCCUCUUGGAACCCCYGAGCAAAGCCCUUUGCUCCUCCUGCAGUGACGGUCACCUCCCCAGCUGGCCUCGGGUCUUCUCCCCUUGCCUGUUGGUGAGAGAAGGACCCUGAAGCAGAUGGCAAUGUGGAGCAACAGGAAGAUGUGGGAACGGCUGCCAGCCUCGCUCAUCCCAAGGAGCUGCGGGGAACGAAGGGGCAGCAGAAGGGUGAAGGCCUCUCACCCAUCGCUAUUGCUGAAACCAAAGACGUGGAGCUGUCUCCCUUCCUCUUCCAAAGGGAAAUAAUUCCCCCUUCCUUCCUCCUGCCGCCAGGCUCCAGUUUCCAAGGAGACAGCGGUUCAUGCCUGGAGCACGCAGCAGGCAACUUCAGGCGAUACUGGCGUUUUCCUCGCUGGCAGUCCUUACUGAGCGUGCCGUGCACGCCGAGCCCUGCAGGAGGAAGGUGCCCCGUGGAGAAGCC
rnacentral:lncRNA from 1 species